ACGAAUAGCUUAGUGGUGAGAGCAUUGGCACGGUACGCCGAAAGGCGUAGGUUUGAAUCCUACUCGUG